rnacentral:rRNA from 1 species
CCUACGGGAGGCAGCAGUGAGGAAUAUUGGUCAAUGGACGCAAGUCUGAACCAGCCAUGCCGCGUGCAGGAAGACGGCUCUAUGAGUUGUAAACUGCUUUUGUACGAGGGUAAACGCAGAUACGCGUAUCUGUCUGAAAGUAUCGUACGAAUAAGGAUCGGCUAACUCCGUGCCAGCAGCCGCGGUAAUACGGAGGAUUCAAGCGUUAUCCGGAUUUAUUGGGUUUAAAGGGUGCGUAGGCGGUCGGAUAAGUUAGAGGUGAAAUCCCGAGGCUCAACUUCGGAAUUGCAUGUGAUAAGGGUCGGCUAGAGAGGAGUUGAGGUAGGCGGAAUGUAUGGUGUAGCGGGGAAAUGCUUAGAGAUCAUACAGAACACCGGUUGCGAAGGCGGCUUGCUGGGUCGAUACUGACAUUGGGGCACGAAAGCGUGGGGAGCAAACAGGAUUAGAUACCCCAGUAGUC